AAGACGCCAGUGCAUGAGGAGGACGAGGUGGAGCAGCAGGAGGAAGAAGAAAAGCAGGAGGACACACUGCAGAGCUGGUUUUUCAAGACGUGCAAGUGCCAAGAAAAACACUCACAAUGUCCAUGAGGAGACACUACAGGUGACAGACAGUUCACUAAACUAGUGCUGCACUCACACUACGUGGCACAGGAUGUCAGCGCUGUUAUGUAGUGACAAUAACAAUGGAACCGGGAAUUCCGUGUCAGCCAAGAAUGACACUAAUGGAAAAAAAACACCUCGAAGAUAAGGUUCUGCUUUGAAUUGCUGCAGUGAAGUGUCUACAUUUUUAAAAACAUUGUCAUUAUAAUAUACUAGAAUAUAAUAUACAAAUUGUUUAAUUGUAAUAUGACUGUAUUUGUGUAAGCCAUAUGUUUUCCUCAUGUCAUUCUUUUAAUAGAUAUUGUUCAUUUUCAUUCAUUCGUUUGUAGGUUUUAUUCUGUUAAGUAUUUCUCCAGCAGUAUCUACAAGAA